rnacentral:misc_RNA from 4 species
UUAGUGAGGCCUUCUGACUGGCGCCGAUACUCUGGCAACAGAGCGCCGGAUGCCGGAAAGUUGGUCAUUUAGAGGAAGUAAAAGUCAUAACAAGGUUUCCGUAGGUGAACCUGCGGAAGGAUCAUUACCGAUACAGUCCAACAACAACUUCCAACAACAACUUUGUUGUUUGCCCUGUGAACCGUACCUGACCGUACCAGGACACAAGGUUGCGGCCGCCUCGCCAGCCCCGGUGUUUUGACAAUAUGCGCUUUUGUGGUCUGAUAUUGUGGCCUGCCCGAUGGCGGCGGCCGACAGUUGGAAAAUGAAAGAGAGACAACUUGUGACGGUGGAUCUCUUGGCUCACGCAUCGAUGAAGAAUGCAGCCAGCUGCGAUAAGUAGUGUGAAUUGCAGAAUUCAGUGAAUCAUCGAAUCUUUGAACGCAAAUGGUGCUCUUGGGUUCUCCCAGGAGCAUGUCUGUCUGAGUGUCAGAUAUCAUCCAUCGCGAGAGCGGGCGCCAGCCUGCGCUUGCGGCAUUGAGACGUCACGGCCCACCCUGCAGCGGCCGUGUCCCUUGAAAGGCAGCGAGACUUGCUGCAGUCUGUUCCCCACAGCCCAGCAGCGGAGGCCAAAAGUGUUGGCGAUCCUCCGCGCGCUGGCGGGGUCCCAGCCGCGCAAGUCGUCCAGGUGAGAGUUCAUUUAUCUCUUGACCUCAGAUCAGGCAAGGCUACCUGCUGAAUUUAAGC